AGUGGGGAAUAUUGGACAAUGGGCGCAAGCCUGAUCCAGCCAUGCCGCGUGAGUGAUGAAGGCCUUAGGGUUGUAAAGCUCUUUUACCAGGGAAGAUAAUGACGGUACCUGGAGAAUAAGCCCCGGCUAACUUCGUGCCAGCAGCCGCGGUAAUACGAAGGGGGCUAGCGUUGCUCGGAAUCACUGGGCGUAAAGCGCACGUAGGUGGGUCAUUUAGUCAGGGGUGAAAUCCUGGAGCUCAACUCCAGAACUGCCUUUGAUACUGAUGAUCUUCGAGUCCGGGAGAGGUGGGUGGAACUGCGAGUGUAGAGGUGAAAUUCGUAGAUAUUCGCAAGAACACCAGUGGCGAAGGCGGCUCACUGGCCCGGUACUGACACUGAGGUGCGAAAGCGUGGGGAGCAAA
rnacentral:rRNA from 1 species